AUGAACUCCAGAAUUCAGGCUCUGGAGUCCGGUUCAACAUCGAGGUCCUCGGCAAAUCUUCUCUUCUCCGGCCCGCUUGCUGAGAACUCCUCAUCGGCCACUGCGCCGGCGCGGCUGCCCGUGCUUACUCAGCAGCAGGAUGAUGACGUCAUCAAUUCGGGGACUAUACCACGAAGAACGAUGGGAAGUGCAGUUCCAGUGUCUACAGGCUCUCCAUUCUUUCCGCCGGCUGCUGCGAUUUCUCAUCAGUUGAGAAGCCAAAUCGUUGCAGAAAUUCCACCGCCUGUGUCCAGGUUCAGCAUCAGCCAGCUUGGUCUGCCCUCCUUUCAGCCAAACAGUAAUAGAUUAGACAUGACCCUUCAAUCUUAUUUACAUUCAGCAGCCAAGUACAUGCGCAGUGGUUUAGCAACUUCAACAUUAAAAAUGUACGACACUGCUUGGUCUCAUUUUAGUUCUUUCUGUGCCACCUUCUCUGUAAAUAUACUUCCUGUCAAUGUUUCAUAUGUUAGUGCUUUUAUAGUCCACUGUUUUGAGUCCCGUAAAAUGCAGCCUUCAUCCAUCAAAAGUAUGAUCGCCGGCAUCCAAUUCCACCUGCGCUGCUUGGAUCCGUCCACCAUCAGCUUGCUCGAAAAUUCAUCAAUUCGUCUCCUGCUUAAUGGACUUAAAAAAGAGAAACCUAAAGGCAAUGAUCAACGUCUCCCCCUCACACUUCCACUUUGAAAAAUUAUAUCACGUCUGAGAGAGGGAUGUUUUGCUUAUGGCUUUCUAUGGCUUUCUUAGAGGUGGCGAGUUUUCAACACGCUCAGAUUCCUUCAAUCCGUCACAUGACCUCACAAUAUCUGAUGUUUCAAUUUUUUCUCACCACUUCACCAUAUUUCUAAAGCACUCAAAAACUGAUAGGAACAGGGAAGGAUCUUUUGUUUAUGUUUCUGAAAAUAACUCUGCUUUUUGUCCUCUGUCGUCUAUGUUGGCUUAUCUGAGGAGUCGUCCACAAGCUCAUCUGGAGGACCCAUUAUUUACAACGGAGGAGGGAAAGCCUAUGUCCAGAGCCUGGUUUGCAUCCCGUUUCCGUCUGCUGUGUCAAUACUGCGGGCUUCCCCCAGAGUGUUAUUCGGCUCAUUCAUUGCGCAUAGGUGCUGCUACAACUGCAGCUUCCUCUACUCCCGUUUCUACCCUUAAAGCUAUGGGAAGAUGGUCUUCAGCAGCUUAUGAACGGUACCUCCGGUCAGAUACUCGAGCCAUCCUUGAGGCUCAGAAAGCUAUGAGUGAUGCUUGUGAUCGGUAGUUGAAAUAAAUAUUGCUUCAGUAACUAUUGGGCUUAUUUAAGGGCUUAUUUAAUUACAGCUUCAUUCCUCUUGCUAGCUUCACGUUGAUCUAUUGGCUUAUUCUUUUUACUAAUAAGAUUGGCUUUUUGAAAGCUCAUUUUGAUCCUCUUUGGCUCUUCACUUAGCAGGAAGAGCCAGGGAUGAUUGCCUGGUAUGGUCUGUUUGGGGGGGAAUUUAUUUGCUGCUUUCCCAGUUUAAAUGGGAGAUUGUCCCCAGAAGCUGCUGCUGUUCCCUGACUAACUUUCAUGGAGCUCAUGAAAAGGAUGGGUAACUCAGAACAGAGCCAUACCGCCAAAUGUAACUUAAACAAUCAUGCAAAUAAAAAUAUGAAUAUUGACUAAAAGAAUUGUCUAUGGUAUUUUUUGACUCAAGUGGUCCUGACUGAAAUAUAGCGUUCAGCGUCAGUUCAGGCAGGCCGCGUAGUCAAGCUCCGCUAUCAGCUGAUACCCAGACCUAACAGCUGAUCCGGUUGCUAAGCACUCAAUUGGUCCCUUUCAAACAGGGCGCCCUAUUUAAAUGCAUUCUCAGUCUGCUGCUUGGCUGCUUCCACUGCACUGCUUGCAACCCACCUCCUCCCCUAACUCCUCCUUAACUUUCGUUUAACUUAAUCAGUGACAUUCUGUUUUCAUUGAUGCAUGCUCUGUUCUCAAUGGGGAAUUUAUUUGCUGCUUUCCCAGUUUAAAUGGGAGAUUGUCCCCAGAAGCUGCUGCUGUUCCCUGACUAGCUUUCAUGGAGCUCAUGAAAAGGAUGGGUAACUCAGAACAGAGCCAUACCAACAGAGCCAUACCGCCAAAUGUAACUUAAACAAUCAUGCAAAUAAAAAUAUGAAUAUUGACUAAAAGAAUUGUCUAUGGUAUUUUUUGACUCAAGUGGUCCUGACUGAACUUUUAUCAUCAGCUUGCGUGUAUCCCAAUUUUUUGUGUCCGCAUGGACAGCAGUAUCUGUGCUAGUGAUUUAAGCAUUUAAAAAACAAAGGUCCACUGAAUACAUUCAUCUGUGCAUGCAGUCCAUAGAAUAUACUUUAUAAGGCUUGUAUGGUCAACUGUGCGCAAAAUGGAGCAGAGCACAGAAAAUUAAGUAUACCCAAGUCUUUAGCCAGAAAGAUUCCACAGACUGUCAUUCCACCCCACUGCACCAGACAAAUGCAUUGAGAACCAAAAC
rnacentral:lncRNA from 1 species